AUAGCGUAUAUUAAAGUUGUUGCGGUUAAAAAGCUCGUAGUUGAACCUUGGGCCUAGCCGGCCGGUCCGCCUCACCGCGUGCACUGGCUCGGCUGGGUCUUUCCUUUUGGGGAACCGCAUGCCCUUUACUGGGUGUGCCGGGGAACCAGGACUUUUACUCUGAACAAAUUAGAUCGCUUAAAGAAGGCCUAUGCUCGAAUACAUUAGCAUGGAAUAAUAGAAUAGGACGUGCGGUUCUAUUUUGUUGGUUUCUAGGGUCGCCGUAAUGAUUAAUAGGGACGGUCGGGGGCAUUAGUAUUCCGUUGCUAGAGGUGAAAUUCUUAGAUUUACGGAAGACUAACUUCUG
rnacentral:rRNA from 1 species